GUCAAGAAUAUUAGUCAAUGCUCGCAAGAGUGAACCUAGCUAACUGAAUCCUUGGUGUGUCAUCGAGGAUAACGUAAGGGAAAAUAAUGAUAUUACCUUACUAUUAGUGUCGUCCAAGUAUCUGUGCCAGAAGACUCGGUAAGGCGAGAGACGCAAACGUUAGUCGUCUUGAUCAGGCGUAAAGGGUUUGUAGGCGGCUUUAAGUAUCUUAUUUUUAGUUUACUAUUUUAAUGUUUAUAAUUAUAAUUGAAUUUUUAAUGAUAAAAAAGAAAAUUUUUUAAAUAUUGGUCGGGCUUUAGUCUGCCAUCAUUUAUAGAUUACUAAUUAUAUUUACAUUAAAAAAAUAAAGAAAGGAUCAAUUAAAGCUAGAAUCUAAAAGAGGUUAAAACAAUACUCUUCAAAGGAGUGCUAACCGUAGAUAAGGAGCAGAGUGUUAAGGGCGAAGGCAUUUAUCCAAUAAAGAUUGACGCUGAGAAACGAAGGUGAGGGCAGAAAAAA
rnacentral:rRNA from 1 species